AAUAAAAAAAAAUUAUAUAUUAAAAUAAAUCUGCGACAAUUUCCUCAUUUAUCUGAUCACUUGUUCUCUAUCGCGGCAGAUACACACAACACUAGUUUUUUGGCGCAGCAGAGUUGGAACUUGUUGAAGAGUUUCGAUGGCGUUACCGGUGGUUGAUACAGAGUACCUGAAAGAGAUCGACAAGGCUCGUCGCGAUCUCCGUGCUCUCAUUGCCUGCAAAAACUGCGCUCCUAUCAUGCUCCGCUUAGCGUGGCACGACGCAGGGACUUACGAUAAGAACAUAAAAACUGGUGGACCUAAUGGCUCCAUAAGGAAUGAAGAGGAAUAUACUCAUGGCUCCAAUAAUGGCUUGAAGAUUGCUAUUGAUUUUUGUGAAGAAGUGAAAGCUAAACAUCCCAAGAUUACUUAUGCAGACCUAUACCAGCUUGCGGGUGUUGUUGCAGUCGAGGUCACUGGAGGCCCAUCCAUUGACUUUGUUCCUGGUAGAAAGGAUUCAAAAGUUUCUCCUGAGGAAGGGCGACUUCCAGAUGCUAAAAAAGGUCCACGACAUUUAAGAGAUAUCUUUUAUCGGAUGGGCCUGUCUGACAAGGAUAUUGUGGCACUCUCCGGGGGUCAUACACUGGGAAGGGCACAUCCAGAGAGAUCAGGUUUUGAUGGCCCUUGGACCAAGGAGCCUCUGAAGUUUGAUAACUCAUACUUCGUGGAACUGCUGAAAGGGGAGACAGAGGGACUGUUGAAACUCCCAACUGACAUUGCUCUGUUGCAUGACCCUGGGUUCCGUCCUUAUGUUGAGCUGUAUGCAAAGGAUGAGGAGGCAUUCUUUAGAGAUUAUGCAGUGUCACAUAAGAAACUUUCAGAACUAGGGUUUACUCCAAGGUCCAAGGUAAUUGCUAAGGACAGCACCGUACUGGCACAAAGUGCAGUUGGAGUUGUAGUUGCUGCUGCUG
rnacentral:misc_RNA from 1 species